AAUGACGCAAAGGGUAACGUAAUGCGUGGCGUUCCCGACGUAACGCGUCAUAUCUUCCAACACAACCGCCGCUUCCUGGCCGGCCGGAGCCUCCAGCCUCAGGGCCCGUUACACCGAACCGUUAUCCGCUCAGCAGCAUCAUCCAGCGGGGAGGACACUCCGCUUCCUCCGGUCCCCGGUCCCGGUCACGGAGAGUUUGAGCGAAUGAACUGAAGUCUUUAAGAAGCCCCGGGACUCUGCUGCUCGCGGUGGGGCUGGAGGGAAGGUCGAGGCGUAGCGGCCGUGGUGAUGGUGUUGGACUCGGGUGGAGUCUUCAUGGAUCAGGUUAAGGGUGAAAGCGUUGGGAGCAGCAGGGACCUGUUGGAGCCGGAUGUCCGAGCGACGUCCAGAUCACCGGCCAAAAGGUGUAAUGUUGCCAAGAAGGAGAAGGUGUCCCUCAAUGGACUUCCGGCCCAGACAAACAGCAGCCAGGUAGCGCAGAGGAGGCCAUCAUCAUCAUCGUCAUCAAAAGGCUUGGGCACGCCUAGGCCGCCGCUCCGCCGCCCUCUCAGCCUGGAGAUAACGCCCCAGCGCCUGCGAGGGUCUCAGGAGCAGAUGGCGGACAGGCGGAUCGUGCAGCCUCCUUGGCGCAGCGGUUCGGCCGCCCCCUCGCCCCCGACUCGCAGCCUGACCAGCCCAAGCCUGGGAGCAGGCGGCUGGAUGCGCCGCAGCGAGAGCACCUGCUCCGUCAAUUACCCCCUGGGGUUCCGGGCCACCAAAGGGCAACUGCGUCCUGCCACCUCCCUGCCACACAUAGCUAAGGGGGUGGGCGACAGGUCGCUGCCGACAGGCUCCAGGCCCUGUCUGCUGGUCGCCCUCAGGCCUCUGAACCUGGAGCAGGAGAAGCAGACCUUCUUCCAGUCCGACUACAAGUACGAGCCUCAGUUUGAGUACGCACAGCCGGAGCCGAGGAGCGUGUUGGAGAAGUACCGAGAGGGCUCGGGCCUCUUCCUCGAACAGGCGGUUGGAAUCAUGGAGUGCGUCCUGAGGAAGUUUAGCUCCUAUGAGAACUUUGAGGAGGUGACGGGCGGCAGCGUCCUCCCUAAAAGUCAAGUCUGGGCUGCUGUACGCAAAUAUCUGCAGAAAGAAGGCUGCGUUGGAGAGGUGGUGGUGCGUCUGUCUGACGAGCUGCUGUCUCAGGCGGUGAUGGUGGUGGAGAGCUGCCGUCCCACUCUGACCAUCAACCUGGCCGGAGCUCGACAGCACUGGCUGGAGGGGAUGCUGCGACAUGAGAUCGGUACACAUUACCUGCGAGGGGUGAACAACAACCUGCAGCCGUGGUCCACCACCGAGGGCAGGAAGCAGUACGGCCUCAAACCGGCCAAUCCCACGGAGGAGGGCCUGGCCAGCCUGCACAGCGUGUUGCUACGGAAACAGCCCUACCUGUGGCGCGCGGCCCUGCUGUACUACACGGUGUACCACGCCACCAGCAUGAGCUUCAGCCGGCUCUUCAGCCACAUCGCUCGCUUCGUCCAGGACCCCGACGUCCGCUGGGAGUACUGCCUGAGAGCCAAGAGGGGCCAGACGGACACCUCGCAGCCAGGUUGCUUCAGUAAAGAUCAGGUUUAUCUGGACGGGAUCCUCCGAAUCCUCCGACACCGAAGGAAUAUCGACUUCAAGAUGUUGACUUCUUUGGGCAAGGUGUCUUUCGAAGACGUGGAGAGGCUGCGACAUCUGGCGGUCCUCCCACGGACCAGAAUCCCGCACUUCAUGCGAGACCAGGAGCGUUACCUGCAACACCUGGAUCACAUCGUCGCCGUCAACGACCUUGAUGAUUCAUCGCUGCAACACCUGCUGCCCUAACCCCCCCGUCUCCCGUCCCGUCCCGUUCCGUCCCUCCCUGCACCACCUAAACUCAAGAAGAAGAAGUGGAGGUACACAGACUGUAACAUGUGGUGCGUUUAAUAUCACUUAAAACCAUCCAGUAUUAUCGAUGCUUUAUUUGAGCGAUUUCUUUUUUUAAAACUUGAAUGAUACGAGCAAAAAGGGACGUACAAACUAACACCUCUAUCUACAUUAUCACGUUUUGUCCAAUGCAUGUCCCCUCCUCGCCUUUACUCCUACUAUGAAGUUACCUCAAUAAUGCAACUCUACGAUGUAACCAACAUUAUCUAUGUAGACUCAUACAUAAUCACUGCAUCUGUACAAGACACUGCUAACGUGUGGCAUACAGAUUUAAACAUGCUUUAUUUAUGCAAUUAUUUAAGUUUUUUUUUACUUUGAGAGAACAAACUGAAUGUCUCUGGUAUUAGCUUUAUAUCUUUUUUAUUUUAGACGACGUUGUUUUUAUGCCUUAGAUUGUUUGCAUUUUAAAAAAAGGACACCAAGGACACGUCAUUUCAAAAACCCCGGGGAAGUUGUAGCUGAGACCGUGAAUCUUUAAGAUAUCAAGUGCCAGUGGACUCGGUCAAGCAUUCAAACAUUCCCCGGGGUGUUUUUUCUUUUUAAAUAUCAGUGUUAUUAAGAAGAUAAUCAGCUGCGUUGGUACUGUCUUAACCGUGUCCUUGGUGGUCUUUUCAUAUCAAUAUGCUACUGUGAUGUGACCCCGUCCCCGAGCUCCCCCCUUCUGCAGAAGACAAACUUUCUACGUUAAAGGACAUUAUUCUUGCUAGAUGAGAAGAUUGACAUCCUCAUGUCUAUCUGUUCAAUAUGUAGCUGUAGCUUAGCAAUUAGCUACGCUUGACUUUCUAAUAUCUAUAACAUUAUAGAUAUCAACAAAGGCAUUUUGACUAGUCGUAAUUAUGUUGUAACUUGUCAGAAUUUGUUAUUCAAUAUAUCUAUAAAAUCAUUCCGACUAAAAUGAUGCUAACAGGCUAAACAAUUAUAGGGACAGAGAGAAAAUGAUGCUAACAGGCUAAACUAUUAGAGAGAUGGAGAGAAAAUGUUGUUAACAGGCUAAACUAUUAGAGAGACGAAGAGAAACUAGAGUGGUAUCAGUCUUCUCAUCUAACUCUGUGCAACAAAGCAAAUGUUCCCAAAAAUGUAGAACUGUUCCUUUAAACGUAGACAAAGUGGCAUUUUUAAUUGACUGUUGGUCUUCUUGAGAAGCAGCCAGUGGUCGCUGGCUGAGUGGGAAGCGGGGUGUUGUGGGCGUGCCUUCGAUGGGUGAACAGCUCAUCUGCUGUAGCUAGCCGUGUGUCUGUAGGCUGCUUUUUACUGUGUUUGACACUUAAAACUUGGGAUGUCAGUCGGGGCGUUCAUUUUGGGCCAAGCCGUCUGUGAGCAGAACUAAAACCAGGAUGUUGGGCUGAACAUCAUCAGUAGUUCCAGUUUUUAAACUUAACAAAGAAACAACACUUGACCAAAAUGUGAAUUCUGUGAUGCAUUUUAAAUACGUUGGAUUUGAAGAUUAAUAUGAAAUUAAUUCUGCUGUGUUUACAAUUUCAGCCAUUUGGUAAGCAGAUGUACGUUUUUAAAUUUGAGCAGGUGGUCGUCUGCUGACUUCACCAAACCUUUCGGCCUGGAUUCGCCUAAACGAAUGCACCUGUUUGUAACGCACGGAUGUUGCACAAGUGUUUUAUGUUCUGGAAAUCAACUUGAAGUUCCAGUUUAUUUAUUAAAACGUACACACACGUAA